UGUGGCUUGGCUCUGGUGUGGCUGUGGCUGUGGCCUAGGCCAGCAGCUGCAGUUCUGAUUCAGCCCCUAGUCUGGGAACUUCCUUAUGCUGCAGGGGCGGCCCUAAAAAGAAACACAGAACGUGUUCACGGGGCCCUCUUCCCAUCUUCUCCAGGGACAUUGGAGCCAGGAAGGCUCCAAUCAGCACAUGCAAAUCCUGAAUGGAUCAGGAGAUAGACCUUGGGACCUGGCCCUGGGCUUGGGGCCAGAUGGGGCCCUCAGCCAGGUGCUGAAAUAAAGAGCAGGACCCAGGGGUGAGGAAGUUUGUGCAGGCGGAGCCCAGUAGGACAGGACCCCUCAUGGAUGCCCGUGCCCAGGGCCUCUGAGGCCAGGGGAGAGCUGCUUCUCCUGGGGCAGCCGGGGCAGACACUGAUGGUGUCUACACAGCAAACAUUGCUCAGUUUUCCCUUCCUAACAGAAACCGAGUUUUGUGUGAGUGGUUGUGGUCCAGCCCUGGGGCUGGAGGCUGCAUGGAGUGAGGAAGAUUAAGUUUGGGUUAACGCAGUGCAGCAUUCUCUUGUCGGUGAAUGCAGUUCUUCAUUGACUGGCCUGCCUUUAUUUCACUUCCAAUUUUCUUCCUCUUNCCGCCCCCCCAUUCCAGGACUCACCGAAGCACAGGAGGGUGGUGGGAUGGGGGGCCAUGGCCCAGCCCCUGCAGCCGGUGCCCGUCCUGGAGAGAUUAUGGGGGAAGGACAGAGCCUGCCUGAUGACACAAGAGAAGAGGAUGUGCUGCCCGGGGGCCCAACUUGGGGUUUCCACACUCAGCGCCUCACACAAAGGGGAAGAGCUUGUGCCCUCCUCUCCCGGCUUCCCGCGCAGGAGACAGAGGCAGGGCCGCACUUCCAGCAGAUGCUCCAAUGCUCAGGCACUUCUCCAUCGUUUUCUGCAAACUUCCCCAGCAGUUGUAAUGAGCAUUGCAGACGUGGGAGUUCCAGCUCUGGUGGAAGGGGAUCCGAAGCGUCUCUGCAGCUCCAGGACGCAGGACACCCCAAGAAGGGCAGUCAGCCACAAGCCAGGAGGAGACGGUGCCCCCCUGCCCUCGGUCUUGGAACCUGUUUGUUCCUGGUGGGUCUUGGACUGAAGAGCAUCAGCCUCGGCCAUCAUUUGAGGCUGAAGAAGGGAUGCAGGGAUUGUUGGUGGACAGAGAGGAGAAGGAGGAAGGGGACUCCCCAAGGAUUCCCAUGAGAUGAAGAGAUACCCGCUGAGUGUCUGGCACCACAUGGGAAGCUGA
rnacentral:lncRNA from 1 species